rnacentral:lncRNA from 9 species
UACCGGCCGUGCGUACUUAGACAUGCAUGGCUUAAUCUUUGAGACAAGCAUAUGCUACUGGCAGGAUCAACCAGGUAGGAGACGGUGGGACAGCGGGCCGGGUGGACCCCAGCGCAAGGCGUGCAUGCUUGCAGGGCGGUGACAGCGGGGUGGGGGCGGAGGCGCACCCCAGGGACCCAGCGGCCCACCACACCCGCAGCGAGGACCGACGACGGGCCGCCCGACAACUCGACCGAGGGCACAAGCGGCGCGGGGCCGCACCGCGGCGUCGCGGAGGGACGAGGGGGGAAGCCCCAAGCUCCCCCACCACCACCACACCCCAGACACGGACCUCCCCCUCGACGGCCCGGGGCACCGAGCAGUCACGUCGGGACCGGCCGACACGCGCGCGCCCUCGCUCGAGCGGACAGGAGAGGGGUGGCAACGAGGGCCAAGGCCCAAGGCCCCUCCCCCCCACCCACCCAGGAGCGGCACGGCUAUGACGGCCGGCCCGCAGCGGCUAGCCGGGUCCCGACUCGCGCUCAGGUGAGCUCAGCAGAGCCGGGAGGGAGGGGCACGCGGCAGGGGGUGGGGGGUGGCAGAAGGCCACCCCUCGACCACACGCAACGACACCGGCGGACAGGCGGGGCAAGGAAGCGGCGGCGGGCACGGAGCGGGGCCGCAGCGGGCCCAGGAAAGCGAGACGCACCAGGACGCCGGUCCGGGGGUCGGCAGAUGGGGACCAGACAGACGGGAGGUCAGACAGACGAGCGGGAGCGAGGAGGGCGAACGUGGGAGCGGCCGGCAUCGAGAGAGAUGCCACAAAGGGACGGUGGCGGAGGGGGCGGCCGCAGGCCUCCAACGAGGUGGGGGGGGGCCACGGGGACCAUCCCCAAAAACCAGAUGCGAGUCGGCUGCCAGGGCACGACACGGGGUCUCACCGCCAGAGGCCUCCAGCACAACGGCGGUCCCGCCGCAACACCCAGGACGCCGACUGGCCUCCCCCUCAACCCCUGGGGGCCCCCCCCUCGCGGGGGCCCCACGACCGCCACCGACGACACCGACGAGCCACAGCCGGCCCCGUGGAAACAAGUCUCCCAAGGCACCUACCGACGACCACCCCCCACACCCCACACGCACCCGCCAUGCCCAACCCUCUUCCCCCACCCCCCCGCGCACAGGGGGACACCCGAGAAGCACAUCACCCAGGGACACCCGCCCGGCCACGGCGGCCAGGGGGUGACACCCACACGAGGUGAGGCCAUUUCAGGUCCCCGGUUGACACGGGGGCGGGAGGGAGAGAGACAUGGCACAGGCAAGGCAGGGCGGUCACCUGUUCGGGGCAGGGGGAGGUACAGGCCGCAUUAGGCAAAAGAGCAGCGCUUGGCCCCCACCGCGGGGGCCAGCGCACCCCUCGCGCGAGGGCGGCUCUUGCCCACACGCUGUGGCAAGUAGCACCGGCAGCUACUGCCUUGCACACUUCAGAGGGGCGGCGGCUGGGGGGUCCAGGUACCCCAAGGCCCCCCUCUCAGAUCGCUAGAGAAGGCUUUCUCACCGAGGGCGCGUCGUGCCCCCCACACCAUCGCUCGCCCCUUCGGGGACCCACGGGAGUGGGAACACUCCCAAAAAGUGGGAAGUCAGAAGGGGGGGGGUCUGCGGUAUGGGUAAAGCACACAGCCCAUGUGAGCGUCCACGGUCAGAGCCGGGAGGGCAAGAGUCUGUGCUGCCACCAGGCUUGCCUUUCAGACUUCUCCACGUGGGUGGAGGGGUGCCACGUCCGGAAAGCCAGACGGGGACCCCCCCUUCACAUCUCCCGGCCCACCGCGGUCGCUCUCACGACCACAUGCAGCCUUCCCGGUCAAGGGAGAAGCAUGGGGCGUGCCGCUCAAGGGCCAAGGGCUGCCCUCACUGGCACACAGUGAGGGAGACCCAUGACAAGGGGUCCACCUGAGCCCCUCCCGGGGAGGGGACACAAGCUUCCCCUGCCUUACCGUCUCGACCCCCUCCCCUGAGCUUUAGGAAGCUGCUCGUGGGGCACGCCACCACCACAGUGGGGACCCGAGGGGACUCACCGCUGGGAGAGGAAAACGACACCACCGCUCGGCCUCGGGCAUCUGACAGGCAACCCGGAGUACUCCAGGGGCACCACAGAGGACCAGGGGAGGCACGCUCACGCACCCGCAGGGAUGCGAAGCAUGGCAGCGAGGGAGGCCUCCCCCCCACUUUGG